rnacentral:lncRNA from 1 species
UGUUUUCAUCCACACUGUCUACUUAUAAAAGAAUUAAGCAGAUAAAACUGGUUUGUGUAUGGGAGGAGUGGAGGACGUAUAUAAACAAAACACUGCUUUAUAUAGAUACACUGGAUUACCCAGAGUCAAUUUAAUAAAUUCAAUGGAUGAUUUUUAGCAGGGUUAUCUGUAUUUUAGACCAUUUUGCUAAUUGUGGAAUAAAAAAGCUAGAGAUGGUACAAUAAUUGUUGGCAUCAUUCACAGUGAGAAGAGAUAUUUGGGAACAGGAAGUCUUUUGUGGUGUUCUCAAAAUCACAUCACGUAGGCAGCUGCUCCUACACACGGCUCUGAACAAGUCGUCUCACUGGAUUUUGCAUGACAGUAUUAGUUAUCAUAAGGACAGCACCUCAGACAUCAGGGCGUUUUUGUUCUUUUUUUGAGACUGUCUUGCUCCGUCAUCCAGGCUGGAGUGCAGUGGCGCAAUCACUGCUCACUGUAACCUCAACUCCAGGGCUCAAGCAUCCUCCCGCCUCAGCCUCCCGAGGAGCUAGGACUACAGGUGCAUGUCACCAUACGUAGGUAAUCAAAUAUCAGUUUUUAUAUCCUUAGUUGGGCUAUUUGGAGUCUGCCUUGAAUCUACAUGGCUAAAAGGGUCAGAGAUUUGGGCAGAAUUUAUGAACAGAAUUUGGGACUACUCCUUUUUGGCUUACUCAUUUCCAGGAUUCUCUUUUUACUUUCUUUUUUUGAGAUAGUCUUGCUCUGUCGCCCAGGCUGCUGGAGUGCAAUGAUGCAAUCUCAGCUUACUGCAACCUCUGCCUCCUAGGUUCAAGUGACUCUCAUGCCUCAGCCUCCCAAGUAGCUGGAACCAUAGGCACGCACCACCAUGCCCAGCGAAUUUU